GAUGGGCUGAGACCUGGAAAUCACGGAAUACUGUCAUUCUGAGAAGAGAUCCUAGACAGACGAUUGUCUAUCAAAUAUUUUCCAUCUUUGCACUAAAACAUCAACUAUUCAUAUUAAACAUCACAGCUCUAUUUAUAUAUUAUAAAAUCUGCCUGAGACUUCUUCACUUAGUGGAUAUGGAGGCUUGAAAGAAAAUGCCCCCCCUAAAGGGAGUGGCACUAUUAGGAGGUAGGUGUGGCUUUGUUGGAGUGGGUGUGUCACUGUGGAGGCGGGCUUUGAGAUCUCAUAUGUGGUCCAGCCAUACCCAGUGUCUUAGACCUCUUCCUAUUGCUGUGCAAGACGUAGACCUCUCAGAUAAUUCUCCCGCUCCAUGUCUGCCUGCACGAUGCCAAGUCGCACCACGCUGAUAAUGGACCAAACCUCUGAAACUGUCAGCCAGCUGUAAGCAAUUAAAUCAGAGCUGCGGUGCUCACGCCGUCCCUUCACAGCAGUAGAAGCCCUAACUAAGACGGUGGUUAUACCCACGAGAUUUCCUGCUUGCACUCUAUUUUGUGAUUCUCCGGCUGUUGAUCUUUGAAAAGGAGAUGUGAAGCCUAUGUGAGGGGAAUUUAACUGCACUUUGCAUUCUUCAUUCCAAAAACUACAGCUGGGGAGAUGACUCAGAGAUUAAGAGCACUCGCUGCUCUUGCUGAGGACAAGGACUAGUUCAGGACCCACAUUUGGCGCCUCAAAACCGUCUGUAACUCCAACUUCAUGUGAUCUAAAACCUCUGAUUUCCACAGUGCUGUGUGCACGAGAUGCUCACCUCUAAAUCCGGGCAAAACUCAUAUACACCAGGUAAAUAAAUAAAGACAUUUCAAAGCUG